GACGAACGCUGGCGGUGUGCUUAACACAUGCAAGUCGAACGGUAAGGCCCUUUCGGGGGUCCACGAGUGGCGAACGGGUGAGUAACACGUGAGUAACCUGCCCUCAUCUCUGGGAUAACAGUCGGAAACGGUUGCUAAUACUGGAUAUGAGCUUGCAAGGCAUCUUGUGGGUUGGAAAGAUUUUUUUUGGUUGGGGAUGGACUCGCGGCCUAUCAGCUUGUUGGUGAGGUAGUGGCUCACCAAGGCUUCGACGGGUAGCCGGCCUGAGAGGGCGACCGGCCACAUUGGGACUGAGAUACGGCCCAAACUCCUACGGGAGGCAGCAGUGGGGAAUAUUGCACAAUGGACGGAAGUCUGAUGCAGCAACGCCGCGUGCGGGAUGACGGCCUUCGGGUUGUAAACCGCUGUCAAUUGUGACGAAGCUUUUUUGUGACGGUAGCAGUAGAAGAAGCACCGGCUAACUACGUG
rnacentral:rRNA from 1 species